GUGCUUUGGCAGCACACACACAAAAACUGGGACAGUACAGAGAAGGUUAGCAUGGCCCCUGUGCAAAGAGGACAUGCAAGUUCAUGAAGCAUUCCACAUUAAA